GGCUUUAGCUUAAUUAAAGUGUCUGUUUUGCAUGCAGAAGAUGCGGGUUAGUAUCCUGCAAGUCUUACAUCA
rnacentral:tRNA from 1 species